AAAAUAAAUGUGUGUGUGUGUGUGUGUGUGUGUGUGUGUGUGUGUUUGUUUGUAGCUGGAGAACAGCCUGCUCCAGUUGGUUGUGUGUAAAUCAAGCGCGAGGCCUGCCGUACGACACCAGCACGGUGCACAUCUGUGUGAACAGAUGCAGGCGCUCCUAAUGCCUACCCCUCUGGAAGUAAUCCAGACGAGGGGGGGGGGGGUGCGAGUGCUGGCAUUGUUACGCCUGUUUGCCCACUAAGCAGUUGUUUGUGAUUCCCAACCCUCCUCAUCCCCCUCUCCUACGCACCCCACCCCACCCCCCAACAACUGUGCAAGGGCUUAUGGGAUACAUUACCCAGAGUCCUCUGCUCAGUAUAUAUCAGUAACGGGUGUGGGGCAGGCCGGGCUUGCUGGGGAGAUUCCUUUGGGUUCCUCUCUGCUGUGCAGAGCUCAAUGGGAGAGGAGGAGGAGCUCUAGCCUCAACUCUUAUGUCUGAAUCUUUUCUUCAACUGCACACUGUGAAAAUAGAUCGGAUUUUGGUUUGGUGGUUUGUUUUUGAAAGAAGAGCAUGACUUUGGAAAGAAGGCUUUGGAGUACACACUAAGCACUGUGCUGUUGUCUCUUUGAAGGGGAUGUCGUUGUGAGUCAGUUAUCUGUGUGUGUAUGUGUUUGUGCGUGUGUGGUGUAUAUACCCACAGGGUACAUUUAUAGGUAUGAUGAAGGUAGCGUUUUUACUUGUCCCUGUAGUAGUCAUCUUUAAUCUUGUUCCUAUCUUGACCAUAGAUGUUUUUGAGAUUAAAUGAAGGAAAUUAAGGAAUUGUGAGAUUAAAUGAAGGAAAUGCAACAUCUGCACAUUUUUUUAUAUAUAUAUAUAUGCAGAUUUCAGUUCAACACACAUUGGUUUAGAGUAGACCAGGGAUUCUCACAUUGGGGUCUGCGGCCCCCUGGUGGUCUGUGAAGGCAUUGGCCUGAUCAUGCAGUAAAUAAUCUAGUUUCACUGGGAAUCUCUAUUCAGUGGUGGUCCUCCACUUCAUUCCUUAGUCAGAAUGGUGGUCCCUGGGUCACAGUCAGUUGAGAACACCCUGGAGUAGAUAGUUAUUAUUUGUUUGUUUUGGUUUUGUUCGUUUGUUUAUUUUAUGUCCUUAACAUGCCUGUCGCACAGAACAAUGUGUAUGUAAUCGUUCAUGAAAUCUACUGCACACACUGUCUCUUAUGCAGUUCAUUUAUCAAAUGCACUGUUAGUGUUGAUGUGCCAAACAUUUGAUUGUGUAAAUAUAUUUCUGUGAUUGUACUGAAAUGUAUGUCGACACAUAAUCGUAAACAAAUUGUGAUUGUAUUUUUCGUAUUUAAUCAUUUGCCAAAGGAGCUGUUGUAUGAAGUUAUUUUGUGGUUUAAGUUUUCAACUGUGUAGUACUUCCUUUAGUUUUGGUGUCGAGGAAGUUCAAAAAGAGACUUUACAACCAACAUAGGAUACAUAGGAACUUGUGUGACCACAUAACUGAAAAGUACUGUUAUAAAAUAGAAAACAUAUCAAAGAUUUGUACAACAUUUAUUUUCCUGCAUGCAAUAUGCUUUUAUGGCACAAUCUUGAAAUCUCCAAAAUAUUUAUAUCAAAGCAGUGCCAUUGCCAUUUAGCAGAAAUGUAUAUAUUAAAUCAAAUAAAUAUUUGAUUCAACCUUUGAACAAUC